UAUACAUCGACAUCUAACAAACCAAUCUCCUUUGACUAAUUUAUACUAAAGAAGACUGUAAAGCUUCAUGACAAGUUCCUUUUAUCUAUGUCAUCUGCUAAUAGAACCCAUCAAAACACAUCUUAGAGUGGUCCCACCCCAUUAUUUGACUAUCUAAAUCUUCAAGUUCAGUCAAGAAAGAGGACAAACAAGGGCAACAUAAAGGAAAAAGUCACCUGUCUGGAUGAAG